CUCAGCGUAGACGAUGAUGAGAAGAGAGCCACCAAGCCAAUCGCAGCUCAUCCUCCUCCUCCUAUGCCUGCUGCGGCGGCGGAAAAGCAUUCUCCGCCGGCAGCUUCCGACAACCCCUAUUGGACCACCGACGGAUUGCCGCUAGGGCACGACAGCGUCAUGGGCGAACCUCUGCGUCGAGCUCAGUGGGACUCCAGCCUCUUCGCUUGUCUCGGUCGCACUGAUGAGUUCUGCAGCAGCGAUCUUGAAGUUUGUUUGGAGACUUCAAGCAGCUCUUGGUGAGCAAAUAGAAAUCACAAAAUUUAGCCAGUAGGGGUAUGAAAGACUUCAAAAUAUUCGAGAUGUGAUAUGGACAUGUUUGGUAAUUUGGAGGGCAGAUGGUAGCUCAUUUUGUGUUUUUGUUCAUAUUACCUUACAUGUAUUUUGGCUGCGUUGUAAAUUUUAUAUUAUUGUUGGUAUUACAAGGCAUGUUGGGUAAUCCGCCCUUGAUAUUUUAUUUUUGUUGAUAUUAGUGGACAUGUUUUGUUGUUGGAUAUUAGGAGA